GGGCCCGUGGUCGAAUGGCUAAGACGUCGCUCUUACACAGCGAAGAUUCGGAGUUCGAUUCUCCGCGGGCCCA
rnacentral:tRNA from 1 species